ACUUGCUCCCUGGAUGUUAGCGGCGGACGGGUGAGUAACACGUGGGUAACCUGCCUGUAAGACUGGGAUAACUCCGGGAAACCGGAGCUAAUACCGGAUAGUUCCUUGAACCGCAUGGUUCAAGGAUGAAAGACGGUUUCGGCUGUCACUUACAGAUGGACCCGCGGCGCAUUAGCUAGUUGGUGGGGUAAUGGCUCACCAAGGCGACAAUGCGUACCCGACCUGAGAGGGUGAUCGGCCACACUGGAACUGAAACACGCCCCAAACUCCUACGGGAGGCCGCAGUAGGGAAUCUUCC
rnacentral:rRNA from 1 species